rnacentral:piRNA from 1 species
UCCAUGGUUAAAGGUAAAUCUCACAGAAGA